rnacentral:rRNA from 1 species
UACCAGCUCUUCGAGUGGUGUGGAUGUUUAUUGGGCCUAAAGCAUCCGUAGCUGGCUGGGCAAGUCCCCUGUUAAAUCCACCGAUUUAAUCGUUGGAGUGCGGGGGAUACUGUUCGGCUAGGGGACGGGAGAGGCAGACGGUAUUUUCGGGGUAGGGGUGAAAUCCUAUAAUCCCGGGAAGACCACCAGUGGCGAAGGCUGUCUGCUAGAACGCGCCCGACGGUGAGGGAUGAAAGCUGGGGGAGCGAACCGGAUUAGAUACCCGGGUAGUCCCAGCUGUAAACGAUGCAGGCUAGGUGUUUGGGCGGCCACGUGCCGCUCUAGUGCCGCAGGGAAGCCGUUAAGCCUGCCGCCUGGGGAGUACGGCCGCAAGGCUGAAACUUAAAGGAAUUGGCGGGGGAGCACCACAAGGGGUGAAGGCUGCGGUUU